UUUUAUUAUUAGUGAAGAGAAUUUAACUAUUAGAUAACUUAUUUUAUUAUUUAUUUAAUAAACAGUGUGAUUUUAGAAAACAAUGAAUAACGUUAGAGGGAAAAUGUUGGUGGAUUUAGCCAAACGCUCAACAAAACCUUGUGAAAGCAAAGAGAAAAUUCGCAAAAACCUACUAAAUUCAAUUGACUGUCACAAGAAUACUCCUGAAGAAAUUUGUUCACCUACCUUAGUAUGUGAAAGUGCUUCAAGAAAUAUGAAACAAGAAUAAAUGGAUAGUGUAGAGAGGUUUUAGAGGAUUUCCAACAAAUUGUUUUUGAACAGUUUGGUGAUAUAGAAUAUUCCUUCACAGAACUGAUUGAUGAUGCUCCUUCAUCCGCAAAUAUAGCAGAACCGGUUACCUCAGAUCAUUUAGCAGAAUUACUAACAAAUCAACCCGCUAAUAGUUCCUUUCUAACUCAUAGUGAACAAAACGUGUUGGAAACAAACAACAUUUUAAACAGUCCUGGUCUUUCGAAAUAAAAAACGAAAAACUUUGGCAUACAUGGAUUAUUUAUCUGUAGACGAAGCUUUCUUAGCAGAGGUUUAUGGAAGUGACGAUUCGGAUUUAUGGGAAGGAGAAUCUGAUUCUUCAUCUAGAAAUAGUUGUGAACGUGUGGAAAAGAAGCAGAAGCAAAAAAAUGUCAAUGAAGGAACAGGUAAUGGGGAGAAGGAAAGUAUUGUUGGAGAACUGCGCAGUGUUAUUAAAAAACAAAAUAAAAGGAGAAUUAAAAAGAAAGCUAAACAAUCCGGCCAGGAAUAUACAAGAAGCGACGGCACUUUAGUCUCUGCCAAAAAACUAAGGCCCAAUCCGUGUACAGGUAAAAAAUGCGGCAACAACUGUUAAAUUGUGAGUGAAGAGAAAAGAAAACCAAUUUUCGAUCAUUUUUGGAGCUUUUCUUCAGAACGACGAAAGGACUGGAUAGUUGGCUUAAAGCAGAAAUUACCAGUUAAACGAAAAAGAUCUACUGGAACAGAAAAACGCCAGUACACUUUUAAGUAUUUUAUAAACGAAGGUGAAGGCAAACGCGCAGUUUGCCUCCAAUUCUUAGCUUGUACGUUAGAUGUGUCUCAGAAAUUUAUUUAUUAUACAAUAAGUAACGCAUCAUUUGGUUCUGCCCCCAAAAAGAUAUGCGAGGGAAGAGCAUUCCACCAAACAAAACCAAAGAGACUGCCAAGGUUGCAGUACAUAACUUUAUUAAAUCCCUUCCGGCCAUUCCAUCCCACUAUGCUCGAAAAGAUUCAAAUCGUGUGUAUUUGCCGCAGGAGUUUAAAAACUUAUUUAAUUUAUAUCAAGUUUACAAAAAGGUUCACCUUACACAAGGAAUAGACGUUCUUGGGGAGAGGGUGUUUAGGAAUGUUUUAAACGCAGAUUACAAUAUUGGAUUCCACAUUCCUAAAAAAGAUAAAUGUCUUUAAUGUCUCAGAUUUGAGAGAUCAGAUAUCACUGAUGAAGUUAUGCAGCAAGCAAAGAUAAAGCAUUUAGCUGAAAAGGAACAUUCCUACAACGGUUUUAAAGCACACCAGAACAUUUUCAAAAGCGACUCUGGAACUCUAUGUGUGAGUCUUGAUUUACAGAAAGUGUUGAAUACACCCAAAGGCGAAAGUAUGCUUUUAUACUAUUCACGCAAGUUAUCGGUGUAUAACCUACUUUUUAUGAGAGUUGCACACGUGAUGUAUUUUGCUACUAUUGGGACGAAGUAAAUAGAAAACGUGGAGCAAAUGAAAUGGCAACUAUAUUUGCUUGGUUGACAAACGUGAGACUCGCUUGCUCUUAUACUGUGAUUGCUGUCCUGGCCAGAACAGGAACCGGACUAUUCUAGCUAUGUUACAUGCGACCCUACAAAAUUGUAUAUUUAUUCAAACUAUCCAAAUAAACUUUUUACUCACAGGACACACA